rnacentral:rRNA from 1 species
GACGAACGCUGGCGGCGUGCUUAACACAUGCAAGUCGAACGGAAAGGCCCUGCUUUUGUGGGGUGCUCGAGUGGCGAACGGGUGAGUAACACGUGAGUAACCUGCCCUUGACUUUGGGAUAACUUCAGGAAACUGGGGCUAAUACCGGAUAGGAGCUCCUGCUGCAUGGUGGGGGUUGGAAAGUUUCGGCGGUUGGGGAUGGACUCGCGGCUUAUCAGCUUGUUGGUGGGGUAGUGGCUUACCAAGGCUUUGACGGGUAGCCGGCCUGAGAGGGUGACCGGCCACAUUGGGACUGAGAUACGGCCCAGACUCCUACGGGAGGCAGCAGUGGAGAAUAUUGCACAGUGGGCGGAAGCCUGAUGCAGCAACGCCGCGUGCGGGAUGACGGCCUUCGGGUUGUAAACCGCUUUCGCCUGUGACGAAGCGUGAGUGACGGUAAUGGGUAAAGAAGCACCGGCUAACUACGUG